UACGGAGGGUGCAAGCGUUAAUCGGAAUUACUGGGCGUAAAGCGCACGCAGGCGGUUUGUUAAGUUAGAUGUGAAAUCCCCGGGCUCAACCUGGGAACUGCAUUCGAAACUGGCAGGCUAGAGUCUUGUAGAGGGGGGUAGAAUUCCAGGUGUAGCGGUGAGAUGCGUAGAGAUCUGGAGGAAUACCGGUGGCGAAGGCGGCCCCCUGGACAAAGACUGACGCGCGGGUGCGAAAGCGUGGGGAGCAAACGGG
rnacentral:rRNA from 1 species